AUUGAACGCUGGCGGCAGGCCUAACACAUGCAAGUCGAACGAGUGGCGGACGGGUGAGUAAUGUCUGGGAAACUGCCUGAUGGAGGGGGAUAACUACUGGAAACGGUAGCUAAUACCGCAUACUAUCGGAUGUGCCCAGAUGGGAUUCGCUAGUAGGUGGGGUAAAGGCUCACCUAGGCGACGAUCCCUAGCUGGUCUGAGAGGAUGACCAGCCACACUGGAACUGAGACACGGCCAAGACUCCUACGGGAGGCAGCAGUGGGGAAUAUUGGACAAUGGGCGAAAGCCGGAUGCAGCCAUCCCGCGUGUGUGAGGAAGGCCUUCGGGUUGUAAAGUACUUUCAGCGGGGAGGCGUUACCCGCAGAAGAAGCACCGGCUAACUCCGUGCCAGCAGCCGCGGUAAUUC
rnacentral:rRNA from 1 species